GCAUUGGUGGUUCAGUGGUAGGAUCCUUGCCUUCCAUGUGGGAGGCCCUGGUUUGAUUCCCAGCCAACGCA
rnacentral:tRNA from 1 species